GAUGAACGCUGACAGAAUGCUUAACACAUGCAAGUCUACUUGAACUUCGGUUUGGGUGGCGGACGGGUGAGUAACGCGUAAAGAACUUGCCUCACAGUUAGGGACAACAUUUGGAAACGAAUGCUAAUACCUGAUAUUAUGAUUUUAGGGCAUCCUAGGAUUAUGAAAGCUAUAUGUGCUGUGAGAGAGCUUUGCGUCCCAUUAGCUAGUUGGAGGGGUAACGGCUCACCAAGGCGAUGAUGGGUAGCCGGCCUGAGAGGGUGAACGGCCACAAGGGGACUGAGACACGGCCCUUACUCCUACGGGAGGCAGCAGUGGGGAAUAUUGGACAAUGGACCAAAAGUCUGAUCCAGCAAUUCUGUGUGCACGAUGACGUUUUUCGGAAUGUAAAGUGCUUUCAGUUGGGGAGAAAAAAAUGACGGUACCAACAGAAGAAGUGACGGCUAAAUACGUG
rnacentral:rRNA from 1 species